rnacentral:lncRNA from 1 species
CAAUAUAGUAAACUAACAAAUUUAACAACCAUAAUCAACUGUAAGCUAUUUGGCAUUUAGCAACAACCAUAUUAAUCAGAUUAACUGAAACUGAUUUCAUUUUUCGUACUAAUUCCCAAAAGAAAUAACAGAAAAGGAAGAAAAAGAAAUGCAUAGCCCCACAAAUUCUUCAUAUAACUACACCCAAUCGCUCACUCAUCAUCCUCGUCAUCAUCUUCAUCAUCAUCCUCCUGCAAUUGUAGUUUACCAAAAGCAGAAGAAAAUUAAGUACACAAAUAUUUUUUAUUACAGCUGAAACUAACUGAAAAACUGGAUUUGACCAAUUAUGUGGUGAGGUGAACUAUAAAAUAUAGACAAUAUUAAUAAAAGCAAAAAAGAAACUAUUAUCUUAUCCCAUCAAAUCAUAUCCAUCCUAGGAUACCAGACCAAAAAGCAACUUUAUCACAACAGAAGAUUUAAACUACAUACACAAUUUUGACAAAUCAAGGAGCAGUUGAAGCUAAAAUCAUAUCUACUAUAAGGUCAAGUUCUCAAUUAAAACAUCUCUAUGCGUGCCUGUCGUCUUUCUUCUCUGUGUGUCUGGCUUCUGCGUGACAUAUUUUAUUAUUUUUAUUAUUUUUUUUGCGUGUAUAUAUUUUUUUUCUUGGCCGCGUUUUCUUUUCAGGCCCCAAAAGAAGUCCAAUUUUUCACGGCCUUUUUAAUUCUCUCGCCGCCGGCUUCUUCUUUUCCUCUCAAUUGGCCGCCGCCAAUUCUCCUUCCCUCAGAAAAAACUUCCCGCGGACAUUUAUGUGGUUCCCAUUUACAAGAAUCAAAAUGCUCAAUAAUUCUUUGUUUUGCUCAACUGUUUUUGCAUUGUAAAAGGAAGGGAAGUGAGUAUGCCAUACUGAUGUUGAAGACUCUGGAAAGCACCUAAGCUUCGCAUGCUUAUUUGGAGGACGUUUCAUAAUGUUAUUCCUUAAAUCUGGUAAUUGCAUAUACUGUGGGCAGCCAGAGGACAUUCGAGUUCAACGUACUCUGUUUUGGCGCUUUACCAUUAAGAAAAUAGGGAAUAACUUGGGUGUGUUGUGGAGUUUGCGCAAACAAGUAGAUUUAAUGAAGACGUCAACAGGAUCUUCCAUCGCUGAUCAGUAGAAGAAUUCGAUCCAAUAUGUGCAUCAUUUAUUGUCUGGCAGAAGAAACGGUGCAUCACACGGAGAUUCAGCACACAAAUUGAUGCCUUCGUAACGAUGGGAAAGGUACCAAGGAAUGGACUUGGCUCAUGGAAGUAGCAAAUGAGGUAAAAUUGAUGAUUCUGGGCAAUUCGAAAUGAUGUUUGGACAGACAUCAAGCUCAAGGAUUACACGGUUUAAUCUUCCCUCGAGAUUGCAUUGGAAAAAGAUUAUUUAUUUUUUUAGGUAUCCAACUUGACAAUAUAAUGAAUAUAUUACUUAAAAAGAAUGUUUUCCAGAUCAGACCCAAAAGUUAAGCACCAUCUUAAAAGCUUAGCCAAAUGUUUCAUUUGUUGGGUUUAACCUAAAAAACAUAAUCAAAAAGGAAAAUAUCUUUAUGCUAAUCACAAAUGACAUACAAGACUGAUAGUUGGGCUCCCAGACAUCGUGCACAAUGGGAUAAGAUAAAAACAACAAUAUAGUAAACUAACAAAUUUAACAACCAUAAUCAACUGUAAGCUAUUUGGCAUUUAGCAACAACCAUAUUAAUCAGAUUAACUGAAACUGAUUUCAUUUUUCGUACUAAUUCCCAAAAGAAAUAACAGAAAAGGAAGAAAAAGAAAUGCAUAGCCCCACAAAUUCUUCAUAUAACUACACCCAAUUGCUCACUCAUCAUCCUCGUCAUCAUCUUCAUCAUCAUCCUCCUGCAAUUGUAGUUUACCAAAAGCAGAAGAAAAUUAAGUACACAAAUAUUUUUUAUUACAGCUGAAACUAACUGAGAAACUGGAUUUGACCAAUUAUGUGGUGAGGUGCACUAUAAAAUAUAGACAAUAUUAAUAAAAGCAAAAAAGAAACUAUUAUCUUAUCCCAUCAAAUCAUAUCCAUCCUAGGAUACCAGACCAAAAAGCAACUUUAUCACAACAAAAGAUUUGAACUACAUACACAAUUUUGACAAAUCAAGGAGCAGUUGAAGCUAAAAUCAUAUCUACUAUAAGGUCAAGUUCUCAAUUAAAACAACUGCAGUGGUACUAUACAGUUGAAAUUAAAAGCUCGACUUCUACAAUUAUCAAUAUGUUUGAGCCACAUUUUAGAAAAGAAUGCAUUAUUCAAGUCAAAUCAAUGGAAAAUAUGUGGUUAAAAAAUAAAGAAAAAUUCAAGACAUACAUGUAAUAUUAUUUUAUUGAAAAAUAUGUGAUUAAAAUGAAGUCAAAUCACCGUUGAAGAAUAUAUAUUUUUUUAAAAUAAUGUGGCUUGUUUUCCACAGUCAAUUUUUUAUCCAUUGUUGCUUGUCAAUGAGUACCGGUUGAGAGGAAAACAAAUAUAUACAGUACAAUAUCUUAAUUAAGAAUGGAAAAGUAAAAAACAAUGUGUUUUUCUUCCCUGCUCCUUACAUUCCACGAGUAAACAAACCAUGAGGAAUUCUUUGUUAGAGCAGGAUAAAUUGAAUAAGGUACAAGAGCACAUUUCAGUAAGCUUAGAAUUAAUAAGUAAACGUUAAUUAACACUAACAUUUUAUUGUCAAACUGUCUCAAGAAACUGGUUUUUUAAAUUAAUUGAAAAAAUUCCUAAGCUUAACAUAAUGAAUUUAUUUUCUUUUGGUAAAUAAAAAAUUCAUCUUUUAAAGCUUAUAUUUAAGAUUGUAGCUAAGCGUGCACUAAUUGAUUAAAUAAAGAAUGAAUAAACUUAAAUAGUGUACAAACCUCUCCGCUUCCUUCUUCAUCAUCCUCAUCAUUCACUUCAGAAUUUGACUUCUCCGAUUCUUCUUCAGCAGGUCCUUCAGCCUGUUAGAAAUGUAAGAAUUAAUGGUGUUUAAAUAAACUAGUUGGUUUUUAUUUUGAGAGAAAACUAAAAGAAAAUUACCAGUUUUUUAUUGUAAGCUCGAAGUUCCUUUUCGUAAUCGACCUUCCUUUUCUCCGCCUUUGUUACGUAAGGAGCUUUCUCCUGAUAUUAACGUUCAGAAAUUUAGAACAAAUACAUACAUAAAUUUACAAUUAAAAAAAGAACAAACUAUGGAAUGCUUACAGCCGCUGAAAGUGAUUUCCACUUGUCCCCUCCAGCUUUUCCUACCUGAAUAAAUUAUUAAUUUUGAAAUGACGAUUAUAGUUUUAUUGCAACAAGAAGUAUAAACACACAUAAAUUCGAGAAAAUUUCUAGACUUUGAAACGACUUUAACUAUGUCUUCUUUAUCUAAAAGUACAGAGUGGACUUACAGCCGCCACGGAUUUGUUGUUAGGGUGCUUCUCUUUGUAGGUUUUUCUGAAUUCCUCCCUUUAAUAGAUCAAAAAAAGGAACCGUAAAUAACAUAAUAAUUUAUAAAUUACACACACACUCGCAAAGAGAAAUAAAAGUGAGUUCGUACAUAAAAACGAAGAAAGCACUGGCAGGCCUCUUCGGUUAAAAACAAUGUGUUUUUCUUCCCUGCUCCUUACAUUCCACGAGUAAACAAACCAUGAGGAAUUCUUUGUUAGAGCAGGAUAAAUUGAAUAAGGUACAAGAGCACAUUUCAGUAAGCUUAGAAUUAAUAAGUAAACGUUAAUUAACACUAACAUUUUAUUGUCAAACUGUCUCAAGAAACUGGUUUUUUAAAUUAAUUGAAAAAAUUCCUAAGCUUAACAUAAUGAAUUUAUUUUCUUUUGGUAAAUAAAAAAUUCAUCUUUUAAAGCUUAUAUUUAAGAUUGUAGCUAAGCGUGCACUAAUUGAUUAAAUAAAGAAUGAAUAAACUUAAAUAGUGUACAAACCUCUCCGCUUCCUUCUUCAUCAUCCUCAUCAUUCACUUCAGAAUUUGACUUCUCCGAUUCUUCUUCAGCAGGUCCUUCAGCCUGUUAGAAAUGUAAGAAUUAAUGGUGUUUAAAUAAACUAGUUGGUUUUUAUUUUGAGAGAAAACUAAAAGAAAAUUACCAGUUUUUUAUUGUAAGCUCGAAGUUCCUUUUCGUAAUCGACCUUCCUUUUCUCCGCCUUUGUUACGUAAGGAGCUUUCUCCUGAUAUUAACGUUCAGAAAUUUAGAACAAAUACAUACAUAAAUUUACAAUUAAAAAAAGAACAAACUAUGGAAUGCUUACAGCCGCUGAAAGUGAUUUCCACUUGUCCCCUCCAGCUUUUCCUACCUGAAUAAAUUAUUAAUUUUGAAAUGACCUAGGAAAGAAUGCAUUAUUCAAGUCAAAUCAAUGGGAAAUAUGUGGUUAAAAAAUAAAGAAAAGUUUAAAGAAAAGUUUAAGACAUACGUAUAAUAUUAUUUUAUUGAAAAAUAUGUGAUUAAAAUGAAGUUAAAUCACCGUUGAAGAAUAUAUUUUUUUAAAAAAUAAUGUGGCUCUUUAAGUCCCAUAUCUUGUUGGGCAUGAUCCGAAUAAAACAAAGCUAAAAUCGAUUUAUUCUACAGUCAAUUUUUUAUCCAUUGUUGCUUGUCAAUGAGUACCGGUUGAGAGAGAAACAAAUAUAUACAGUGCAAUAUCUUAAUUAAGAAUGGAAAAGUAAAAAAAAUGUGUUUUUCUUCCCUGCUCCUUACAUUCCACGAGUAAACAAACCAUGAGGAAUCCUUUGUUGAGCAGGAUAAAUUGAAUAAAGUACAAGAGCACAUUUCAGCAAACUUAGAAUAAAUAAGUAAGCGUUAAUUAACACUAACAUUUUAUUGUCAAACUGUCUCGAGAAACUGGUUUUUUAAAUUAAUUGAAAAAGUUCCUAAGCUUAACAUAAUGAAUUUAUUUUCUUUUGGUAAAUAAAAAAUUCUUCUUUUAAAGCUUAUAUUUAAGAUUGUAGCUAAGCGUGCACUAAUUGAUUAAAUAAAGAAUGAAUAAACUUAAAUAGUGUACAAACCUCUCCGCUUCCUUCUUCAUCAUCCUCAUCAUUCACUUCAGAAUUUGACUUCUCCGAUUCUUCUUCAGCAGGUCCUUCAGCCUGUUAGAAAUGUAAAGAAUUAAUAGUGUUUAAAUAAACUAGUUGGUUUUUAUUUUGAGAGAAAACUAAAAGAAAAUUACCAGUUUUUUAUUGUAAGCUCGAAGUUCCUUUUCAUAAUCGACCUUCCUUUUCUCCGCCUUUGUUACGUAAGGAGC